rnacentral:rRNA from 1 species
UACGUAGGGGGCAAGCGUUUGUUCGGAAUUACUGGGCGUAAAGGGCGCGUAGGCGGCACGGCAAGUCGGGAGUGAAAGCCCGGGGCUCAACCCCGGAGGGUCUUCCGAAACUGCCGGGCUAGAGUGCGGAAGAGGCAACCGGAAUUCCCAGUGUAGCGGUGAAAUGCGUAGAUAUUGGGAAGAACACCGGAGGCGAAGGCGGGUUGCUGGGCCGACACUGACGCUGAGGCGCGAAAGCGUGGGGAGCAAACAGG